rnacentral:rRNA from 1 species
UACGUAGGGUGCAAGCGUUGUCCGGAAUUAUUGGGCGUAAAGAGCUCGUAGGCGGUCUGUCACGUCGGGGAGUGAAAGCCCCGCUGCUUAACGGCGGGUUGGCUUCCGGUACAGGCAUCGCUGGAGUGCGGCAGGGGAGACUGGAAUUCCCGGUGUAGCGGUGAAAAUGCGUAGAGAUCGGGAGGAACAUCAGUGGCGAAGGCGGCCAUCUGGGACAACACUGACGCUGAGGCACGAAAAGCGUGGGGGAGCAAACAGG